UUUAGUACCAAGGCAUACAGCCCAAAUGUGAUAAUCCAGAAGUUGUGCUGCUUCUUUUGACUUGGAAAAGAUCAGUGUCACUUCAAACAUUUCAGGGAUAUAAUUAAGUGCAACCAACAACAUCAUCAAAACAGUAGAAGAAAUUCAAACAGUAACUAUGCAGACUGGAAAUGGCUCAUUGUUCAGUGAAAAACAGCUGAUCUUCAUCAGAAAAGGCCACAUUAUUUGUCAGUACUCAUUCUAGCCAAGAAAGAAAAGGAAAUUCCACGAGAAAAGGUUUUUCCCUGUAAUAAAUGCCAAAUUUUUCUCAGGUGAAGGAAGAGGAAUCUGAAUUCAAAGAAAAAGAAGCAGAUCAUGUACGAAGACAUUUUGAGCUCACUUUCCUGCCUCUGCUGCAGAUAUUUCUCUCUCCCCUGUAUCAGAUGUAGACAUUGCCAUCAGCACUUAGGGACCUAGAAAAUAGCAGUAGUCUGCUCUGCAGUGUUAAGUACUACAGCUUGGGAUACAUGUUCAAUCGAGGCCCCAGCAGGAGGGAGAUCUGGCUGAAACUGGAGUUCCUGAGACAUUUGACUUGCAGCAUCCCUUGGAGCGGGAAGCCAGAAUUCUGCAGGAAGCACUGAGACUGUCCUGGUGUCUAUGCUGUGCUGAAGUGCCCAUGUUUUCUACUCUAACCUGCCCUAAAAACGUACUGUGCAAGGCUGGUGAAGCUGGCACAGAGCUGCUUCUGUGUGAAAGGUUGUGAAGUCUCCCUCACUGGAG